CUGGAGGGCACCCAGGAGCCUUGGGAACGUGCGUCCCACAAUUCCAGCUUCUUGGGCUUUAGGACUGGGAGGUUCGGUUGAGGGUUGAAGUGAGUGGGGAGAUUGUGAUUCGAGGGCUUUAAAGGGAUCCCGUGGCCAGGGGCAGGGCUAAGGCCCAGCAUUUCCCAGGGAUUGGAAUUUGGUGCGGAGCACACUGAUCAAAGGCUGUUUCAUCCCACAUGGGCACGAAACAUACCACAGUUUACGGAGGAUGAAGCCUGAGAGAAGAGGGAGGUGGAGGAGAAGCAUACAUGAAAAGCACCUUUACCUCUGUAAGUAUUCUUGCCUGGAGAAUCCCAUGGACAGAGGAGCCUGGUGGGCUACCAUCCAUGGGGUCUCAAGAGUUGGAUACGACUGCGUGAUUGAGCACAGACACAGACAUAUUCUAAGGUGAUUGAAGGCGAUGGCAACCCACUCCAGUACUCUUGCCUGGAAAAUCCCAUGGGCAGAGGAGCCUGGUAGGCUGCAGUCCACGUGGUCACGAAGAGUCAGACACAACUGAGCGACUUCACUUUCGCUAAGGCGAUUGAAGUGUUGGAGAAAACUCUUGAGAAUCCCUUGGACUGCAAGGAGAUCAAACCAGUCAAUCCUAAAGGAAAUCAGUCCUGCAUAUUCAUUGGAAGGACUGAGGCUGAAGCUGAAGCUUCAAUACUUUGGCCAGCUGAUGCAAAGAAGUAACUCCUUGGAAAAGACCCUGAUUCUGGGAAGGAUUGAAGGCAGGAGGAGAAGGGGAUGACAGAAGAUGAGAUGGUUGGAUGGCAUCACUGACUCGACGGACAUGAGUUUGAGCAAGCUCCAGGAGUUGGUGAUGGACAGUGAAGCCUGGCGUGCUGCAAUCCAUGGGGUUGCAAAGAGUUGGACUUGACCGAGCAACUGAACUGAGCCAUAUGUUGUGCUUUAUGACAGUUAUAAAUAGAUCCUAAUUUUUUUUAAAAAAAUGAGGAAGUAGCCAUUGUAAUGUGAACAUUCAGCUAAAUAUGUAGAAUUAAAUUUAAAAUAUAUAUGUAUAGAGGGAGACAGAGACAGACAGACAGACAGACAGACACAGAGAGAGAGAUAGAGUUUAAUUCAUGAGUUGGUUUGGAAUUUGCUCCAUGACUUUGAUAAGGCUACUUGUACAUAUUUGCUCUUAUGUGAAAUACUUUCAAUAACCCUUAUUAGUAAAGCACUUGGAGAUCAUUGGUUGGAAAGCACUAUUGAUUCUGAGUACAGGAUUUAGAGCCUUACAGUUGAGAGUCAUCAUAAAUUUUAUCUUUGCUGGCAUAAGAGCAGAGAUUAUUUUUGUACAAAGCAGUGGCUUUUUUAUUUUGUAAACACCUUACAAUAGGAGUUUCAGUCAUGAAUUAAGAUUACUUUUUACCUAGAUCAGUAGAUAUAUUGGUGACAACAGUAACAUAUAUGUGUGUUUAUACCAAUGUUCUUGUAGCUUUCUCUUCUUGCCCUGAAAUAUGAAAAUACUAAAUUUUGAACUAAUUCUUUAUAUGUCUUCUAUACUUAUGGAGGAUUAUAGGAGAUAAAAGAAUCAUACAGGUUUAUUUUGGAAAAGAUGACACUCAUUUGAGGAGUCGUCCCUGAUAUCACAGAUUUCUACCAACUUUUUAAUGUUAAGCAGGUAUUCUAGUAUGAUUGUGAAUUUAUCAAUCACAGGAAGAGGAGAUUUAUUGUUGUGGGGAAUGUAGUUUCAUCACCUAUUAGCCAGAAAGAAAAGGAAUCUUAAAGGAUAAAAGUAGAAGUGAGUUAAACUUUUCUUGGUAUCAACUUAACUUUUCUGAUCAGCUAAAGUUCUCUGAGCAGGUGGAGAAAAGACACUGAAGGAAUUGGAAAUGGAAGGAAGGGCACUGAUGAAAAACACAUCACAAAUGACUAACAAAUUGUCAAUGAAAAUCGGGUGCCUUUCAGGUGGGAACUGCUAACAGGCUCUUAGGCAGCUUUUGGCCUCCUUUAAUGGAAAUUUUAAGAGAGGACUGGAGGUGAUGAAGGUCAUUCGCCUGAUGUCAGUGGCUCCUGAGUGGUAUUCCAAGUGGGCCCCUAUAAUUGUGUUGAAGGAUGGUGGGAAAGGUGCAUCAAUUCGAAGGGCAGAAGCUCCCCAGCCAGUUUUUCCCUGCAGCAGAUCAGAAGUAGAGGAAGUUAGAUCAUUUAUUUAAUUUGUGUUUUUUUAUUAAGAUAUACUAUCAAGAUCUUCCAUUUCUUUGGUGCAUUAUUUUAAAGCUCAUUUCCCACAUUAAUCCAUUAAGAAUAUUGAAGUAAAAUAUAGUUUCAUUUUAAAAUAUAUUUCUACGCUUGAUGUGAUAAAAAAUUCACUUACAAGUCACCUGGGAUCAGAGCAAUAAUAGAAACCAAUCUUUUGCAAAUAUAGUUUGCUCUUAUGGAUAGGAAAAGUUGGAGGGAAUAAAAGCCAUUAAGGCUGUGUAUGAAAAAUAUAUUAGAGUUACAUUUAUAUCAUUGAUUACACUCUUUCUCAAUUAUACAGUUUGGAAAAAAACAUAAGCAAUUAAUCAUGGUAGAUUACACUCAUUUUGUAUUUGGCCAGCAGUAGCAAGUAGUUAUUAAGAAGUCUGAGUUCCAAUUGUUUCUCUAAAUAAUACUUUGUAAUAUCUUUUGCUUAUGUGAUUUCUGUAAUACCCUUCGGUAAAUGUGAUUAUUUAUACCUAGAAAAGAUUUUAAAAUAG
ensembl:lncRNA